GAGUGUUGAGGGCAACCAGUGGGCUAGCCACAUGGGUAUGACGCACCCACCCUCUGCAUUCUUGUAAAUACUUUGGCCAGUC
rfam:Modoc virus genomic RNA for polyprotein gene